rnacentral:rRNA from 1 species
GAUGAACGCUGACAGAAUGCUUAACACAUGCAAGUCAACUGUGGCGGACGGGUGAGUAACGCGUAAAGAACUUGCCUCACAGUUAGGGACAACAUUUGGAAACGAAUUCUAAUACCUGAUACUGUGAGAGAGCUUUGCGUCCCAUUAGCUCGUUGGAGAGGUAACGGCUCACCAAGGCGAUGAUGGGUAGCCGGCCUGGGAGGGUGAUCGGCCACAAGGGGACUGGGACACGGGCCUUAGGCCUACGGGAGGAAGCAGUGGGGAAUAGUGGAAAAUGGACCAAAGUCUGAUCCAGGAAUUCUGUGUGCAAGAUGAAGUUUUCGGAAUGUAAAGUGCUUGCAGUUGGGAAGCGGUACCAACAGAAGAAGUGACGGCUAAAUACGUGCCAGCAGCCGCGGUAAUUC